UCCUGGCCCAGGCUUCCCUCCACAGCAACCUUCCAAUCCCACCCACAUCAAGUCCCAGCUUUCCAUCAGCCCUUAGCCAGCAUCUACUCUCAGAUGUUCUCCAGAACCACCCCAUCUUUCCACACCCCACAAACUCAGCAGUUCCCAGCUUCUGUCCUUUCUGACACGGCCUGUACAUUCCACUUCUCUUAACUACUGCCACCUUCCACUCCACCCCCCACAACCUCCACCCACUCAGCCCCUUCAACAAUCCCCAGCCACUCCAUCGUCCAUCCACCUAUUCCCCAUACGCUCUUCAGCAUCCACCUAAGUGCCAAGUUUCUGCAGCAUGAUGACUUACGCCCACCAUUGCAUGGGGCAGGUUGUAUUCACCUUAAACUGAAGUUUAUGGUCUUAUACAUAUUACGUAAUAGGGUUUUUCAUACUUGCAAAUCCAUUUCCAUAAAUUGUUAUCCAUGUAGCUGCACAAUACUUGGCAGCUAUGGCAUAUUGCUCAUUUGUGAGAGGAGGGAGAUCUGCCAAACCUAAGACCCUCCAAUGGGGCCUGGAGAAGAUUGGAGGGAGACAUAAGUUUUGCUGGGGGUGUAAAAAGCAUAGGAUUGGUUUAUCUGGAGGUGAACAUGAGGGUGGUCACAGAAGAUGGAAAGGGGUCUUGGAAAAGAACAGGAUGAGGUUGAGGUAACAGGGACACAGUGAGCACAAAGGAAGCCCCAAGGAAUAGAUGAUGUAACAUGGAAGCGUUAAGGAAAGGGAGCCAGGAUGGGGUUAGAGACCGGAAUGAGUGAAAUUAAAAGGGGAAGAGAAAGAAGGUCAGAAAAUUGGGGAGGGAGCAUGGAAAAGAAAACGGGCUGUCUGUAGGGAAAAGCAGUCUGGGAAAUUAGAUAAUGAGGGAAAGAAAGAGAAAUGGGAAGAACAAAAAACAAGAGAAACACUAUGAUGUUUCUUUCAGUUAUUUAACAAACAUUUGUGGCAAAAUAUUCUAUCACAUCAUGGGGUGAGGGUCAAAGGGACUUUGGGAGACCUGAUCGUGUGUGAGAGGUGGGCAUGAGAGUCUAGUGUUCCCAACAGGAAAAAAAAAGUAUACUGAGAAAUUUUCCAUUUCCCCACCUCCGUCUUCUGGAGGGAGAAAACAUUAGCUGCUUUCUGGGAUUGCUAUAGAGGGUCUAAGAGCAAACUGAUUAGUAGGUAAGAAAAUACCCUCCAUCCUCCUCUAACAAUUUAACAGUUUUAUUUAAAAAGCUUUGGAUUGUGAACACUAAUAUUAGAGUUUUUCUGCUUGUUCCAGUCUCCAUCAGCACUGGUUUACCUUAACCUUGGGUAUCACACAGUCUCUAUCACAGACAAGAUGGCUGUGAGAGGCAGGAAGACUGAGCAAUGCCAAAUGUAUUUGUAACUAAAAUGACAGGCUCCAUUGCACAGGGUACUCACAAAAAGUGAUUCCUUCCGGGCUUAUGAACAGUGAUUUGACAGGAUUGAGACAAUGUGGUGGAGUUUUCUCUGAACAGACUAAUCUAAUAUGCGGUAAAAUUUUUAGAUUUUCCUAACAGUUUUUUAAAAGGAUAGAAAGAGUAACAAAUGCAGGUGGAUAGGGUUCUUUGGCCCAUUUUCUCUCCCGUUUCCUAAUGUUAGCUCCCACUUUGCAAAGAAAGUUCAUUUUUCUUACCACGUCCAUUACAUUAAAUACCCCAGAGGAAAAGUAUAAUUAGAAAUAAAUAUGAAGAAGCUAAAUUUUGGGCCAAAUCUUCAGCUGGUAUAAAUUAGCAUAGUUCCAUUUAAGAUAACCUACAUCAUCUGAGGAUCUGGCAAAUUACCUUGUAAAUGUUAGUACUGUACAUACCCUUCUGUUUCAGUUCAUAACAAGAAAGGUGUCAAACCAAAUCUCCAUCUCCAAGCAUCCUGAGUUUUGAAAAGUUUGGAUCCUGCUCUGAACUUUGGAAUUUGGGUCCAUUCUGGAGAGAAGUCAGUCAGUUUACAGGCUAAGUAUGUUUUGUUUGCUUUUCAGACAAAAGAAACUAUAGUUUCCCUUCUCCAUCAUUCAUGGAUACUCAUUUGUUAAUUCUGAGGUGUGCAAAAAUACAGUUUGGUGACAGUAGGUUUUUUGUUUGUUACACAACAUCUACUGUCUUUUUUAGAUGGCUCAUUAUACUAUCUUGUAAUUCAGAAACGGGUGGAAAAGGGUAUAGUAGAUAUAGUAUAGUAUAGUAGAUCAUACCAACCUGACCAUAUCUUUUUAGCAAAAUAAUUAAAACCCACUAAAAGUCUUUAACAUUUUGCUUUCAUUUAGUUCUAUUUUGUUCUCCACAAAGGUUUUUCAGUUCCAUGAGAUUUAAGCAUUUGUUUGCUUUUAGUAUGAAAUCUACUACUUUAGGGCUUCUGAAAUAGUGAUUUCCUCCAACUCAAACACCUAGAUACUUCAAUACUGAGACAUUUAAAAAUGGCAGAGAUGUUUAGUUUUGCUGCAGAUGGGUAGUUGUUACACUGAACAAAUAAUGAAAUAUAACAGUAACAGGAGGUAAAGGGAAUUGUAAGAAAAUUGCAGGCUGAUGACAGCUCUCAGUCCACUGCCAUAAAUAGAUGAUGUAUGUGAGAAAAUCAACAGACGCUCACCAACUUAUUUUGUCAAUAACUAUGAACUCUUGGGCUCUUAUGUCUCUGGUGUUUGUGAAGACUGAAGACAAUUGGAAUGUCAUAUUUUCUUUAUAAACGUAAGUAACUUUUUUCAUUUUGCAUAGUAUCUUUAAAGAUACUCUGAGCAAUAGUAGAUCAGCUUAUCCACAGCCAUAAGGGAAAAGGGAACUGCAGUCGUAAUGUAGAAGUAUGAGGAUGCCCUAAAAAGACCUAAUGACCACCCAAGUAGACAUCAAAAUCCUCAGUUGCUCACUUUAACCAUGGACUACCUUGUUCUCAGAACAAAUACUCUCCCGUUGUUAGAGUUAAGCCUAUGCAUUUUCUGCCCGAGGUGCUCUUGAAAAUUAAAAAACAAACCAGCAGUAGCAAGGGAUAGGAUGAUUAUCAUAUUACUGGUUCUGGAUUAGCCCAGAAAACUAUGCAUGCUUUGAAACUUCUCACUCUGGGCUUUGUCCUUGUUCAGACCAAGUAGGCUAUGGACUAAGUGCAAAGAAAACCCUGCCAACUUUUUUUGAUUAUCCCCUCAGCAAACCUUCCUCUCAACAUCUCCUGCACAAGGAUCCUAGCUGCCCCCAUCUUUUGGUCUGUUCAAAUGACCGUGCUUGAAAAAGUCAUACCAGAACAGGCGCUAACCACAAUGGUGCGUGAAUGUCUGGAAAUCCAUCGCUGCCCAUUAACUGUUUCUUCAGGAUUGGCACUUAGAUAACAGAAACCUUCUAGCUUUAAUUUUGGAGGGUCUACAUAGAGACCAGGAUUGUGCUACCUUGAGGGCCAGGCCUCUGUGGUCAGGGCUCCAAGAUAAUAUAGAUAGAUAGAUUGUCCAUAGGGUAGAGGCUCUUAUAGAGAGAGAUGGAUGCUUUGAAGGUAGCAACCAAGCUAAAACCAACGUUGCUUUUUGUGGCCCUUCAGCCUGGCCCUUAUUGCUCUCAUAGCCCUCUCUUUGAGCUUUUAAAGAGAGGCUUUCUGAGAGCAGCCUGCCCGCAUAACAAUUUUCCUGGGUAGAAGGCUGGAGGAAUUCCUGGACAUCAGGAACCACUACCUAGUCUUUCAGCAAAACAAAGUAGUGAUCAAGAUGAUACCUCAUUUUUCUUCGAUAAAUCCCUCUCCUCAUCUUAUGGCCAAGGAUGUCUCUUCUUCCUCCUCAUGUUUCUCCCCGCAAACCCUGAAGGAGCAGAGUGUGCAUAUUCUGGAUGGGCCUUGUAUAUCUAACUGAAAGGCCCCUAGAUUAUGUGAGAUGGUGUAAUCCAUUUGUCCUCUACAGCUGAGCUGAGACGAAGGCUAAAACCUCCAUGGCCUACUGAGCUCUGGAGCGCUCAGAGCAAAGAAGUCCCCACUACCACUGGAGCAUAUAUCUUCCAAUGAAGUAGAUGUUGUAAGCUGUCGAAGAUAUGGGGACUUGCCGACUUCCCAUUGGAGAUAAGUGCUGUGAGUCGUUCCCAGCAAGGAGGAAUACAAACUGAGAUAAGUCUGAGUGGGGACAGAGGGACCCACCUGGAACACUGUCCAAAGCAUAGGGAAAGCCCUGUACUUUAUAGGGAUGCUGGCAGUGGAUAGCUGGGGCAUGGGGAAAGUCCAACGAAGGUGUCCAGGAAAGAGAAGAAUUGGGGACAUCUUCAUCACCAACACAAGCAGUAUCCGAUGGCCCCACCUUAGAGGUUUGUUUAGGCCUCAGGCCAUCCCACCAGUGUCGCAGAAGUAUUUUAAUGGGCUUCAAGUGUGUGGGAAUCUGGACCCACCUGCUGGAACUUCCCUUCCUGCUUCCAGCCCCACUAGUCCUCCUCACUGUGGGCUUGUCUACUCACAGUUUUGGUACUGCUUUAACUUUGCUGGUUUGAAACUGGCAUAGCUAAAGUGGUACAAUCCCUAAUGUGAUGCAGUUAUACUUGUAUAAAGGUUCUUUAUCCUGGAAUAGUUUAUUCCCAUAAAGUUUGUAGGGGUAAGCUAUACCAGUAUAGUCACCUUUAUACCACUGUAAGAGCGUCCAUGCUCGGGGUUGUACCGCUUCAACUAUUUUGGUUAAAAAAAUGUAUCCCUAAGCAAAAUAGUUGAAUGGGUACAAGAAUUGUGUGUAGACCAGCCCUUAAGCAGAGCCUAAGGCACUCUGAUAGGGUCCAGUAAAACAAGCACAGCAAUCUUCACACCUACCAUGGCAUCUAUGACUGAUGCUGUUAUGGUUUUCUCCCUGUCUUUGUUUUCUCAGCAGAGUCAUUAUUCAUAACCUUUCAAGUCACACUGACGUAGGCUUCCAGUCUGGAAACAAUUAAAGGCUACCAAGGCAAUGGCUAGUACAUAAAAACAGACCAGACGCCCAUAAAUGUAUUAGCUUGUCAAACUGCUUGGCUAAAAGUACUACUCCAUCCUGUCCCUCUCCCACCCUGAGGCUGCAGGUCCCCACCCACAGACACAAAAAGAAACAAGUCGUCCUUUGGAAACUAGGGCUUCUCAAAACUUUAUAUGUCAGCAUAGGCUUUUGAUGUGCUUGAGUUAGUCAGUGGUUUCUAGUUUCUCCCUCGGUGCCCUCCCAAUGUCUGUUUUGGAGGAGGAUAUUUUUGCAGCUGCCAUUGUCUGGGUUGACAUCAUAGGGAUGAAGGAGAAGAAUAACUUCUUAUCUGCUAGUUAGGUUGCUCACAGUUCCAUAUGCUACCAUUUCUCUGGUACUUGGCUGGAUAUCCUUGUUUCAUUGUUCAGGAGGGCUUAUAUUUUUUAAAGUAUUUAGGUAACUGCUGCACUUAGCAUUGCAAGGCCUAAAUUUCAUUUCAAGGGUAUUUAGGCACUUAGGAGCCAAAAUCCCACUGACUGUCAAUGGGAUUUAGGCUCCUAAAUGCCUUAAUCACUUUUUUAAAUGAGUCUUAGGCUCCUAAAUCAGUUAGUCCUUGCAACGCUGAGUGCAACAAUACUGAAAUACCUUUAAAAAUCUGGGCCAGAAGUUCUGUGUAUUGCAGUAUUUGGUUGCAGCAUCCCAUUGAAGGAGAACGAUGACACUCCUUCAGUUUGUUUGUUUUCAUGUGUGUUUACUGCAGGAAGGAUUUAAUACCCAGUGUCUGGGCUGGCAUGUUAUGGCAUUAUGAGAAAUCUUCUUAGCAGGGAAAGAUUAAGUGAUGUCAUCUACUGUCACAAUGGAAAUGUGGAAACCGACCCCUGAGCUCAGGUCUUGGAGGAGAAGGGGAGGACGAGUAUAAAAACAUUACUUUGUGAGUUGCUGGGCUACCACAUGGUCCUGACCCCAAGGCAAUAGUUACAGUACUGGUAAGCAGAAUAAAUUUUUUACAUUGGGUCAAUAGAAAUAGCCAGGCUACCUAUUUAUUAGGAAGAACAAAUGUCCCUACAAGUUAUUUUGAACACCAGAAAUUAAUGCUUGUUUCUUAAAAUAACUGUUUCAAAAAGCUGAAACGGAGGUAGAAAGUGUGCUUGGUUUCCUGAUGUCUUCACUGAAGAAAACGCCUCCCUUUUUAUUCCACAGACUGCUCAAUAUCCCUAAUGCCUUAAAAGCAGUUCUCUUCACAUAGACAGAAUUUCUAAUGAACUACACAAGUAAAAAUGCUAUAGACAAACUGAUCUCUAAAGCUGGAAGCCAGGUAUAACUGUAGAAGAAAAUAUUCUACUUCUGAGUAGAAUUUUAUUUCUAGGAAGCAAGCUUUUUUAUCAGGUGAAACAAUGAGAAGAUAACUGUCGCUGCAGGUGUACUAACAAGAUUUUAUAUACAAAGUUUUACAAGAGGACCCAAAUAACAUCCCCAGUGUAACACCACUGACUUCAGUGUGGUUAAUUCAGAGAUGAAUUUGGCCCUAGAUAUCUGUAAUAGGGCUUCACCUCACCUUCCUUCUUUUGAAGGAAGGGUAAAAACAAAAGACCAGAAGAACGUUUCUGGAAAGAAAAGUGUGUAAACAUAAUUCUCCACCAUACAAGUGGAUGAAGAGGGAAAAAUCCAUAAUAUUUUUUUUUUAAAUUCAUGCUUUUAACUUAACAAGACGAAAACUCAGAUAAUGUAAAUGAUCUUAAGUUUUCCGUCACUGAUGUCUUAACUCCUCUUAAAGAGCAAAUCAUAGCUUUUAAAUAAAUGUAAUAUUGCCAUUAUAAUAAAAUAUGUUGUAUAUGACACACAAGUACUAUACAAGGUAUCUAGUGGUGAGGCUUAUGUCAUAAGGAAUAUUAUGACAUGCCUUCUUUAUUGUAGUUCUAAUUAUCUCAUGAUUUUCCCCUCAACUCUAUACAACAGCUAUGAAAAGAUAAAGGAGCCUUAGCUGUUUCCAUUAGCAUAGACUGCUCUUAAGGAAAGGUCUAGUCUCUCCAUAGCACACACAACUCCCACUGGAAUUUAUAGGAGUUGGACAAGUGUAUGAUGAGAAUAAACCUUUAAGGCAAGUGUAUGAAGAGAAAAAACCUUUUAAAAAGCAGCAGUUUCUAAAGAUGGUAGCUGCUAUUAUGCAUCCAUUCAAAUAAAACAGCAGAAUAAAGCACUGUUAGUGGCAUUCAUAUAGUACAGUACGGUAUAUAUUGUCAAAUGAAAUUAUAGGAACAAUUCAGAGAAGUAUAUUUCUCCUUUCAUACUCCUGCCACAUUAUUUAGGCUGACUGAUAUUUUUUUUCUGGUAACUUUGAAUAAUAGAGCUAAAUACACAUGAUGUCAGAAAGUCUGAGUUUUGCUUUUUGUUACUUUUUUUUCUUAAAGUAUCCGCUUACGUUAUACACAGAUUUAUUGGAAAAAAAAAUUCAAAAGUAUAGUUCAUACAAAGAAAAAUUAGACCCAGUUUUCUUUAGUCUAAAUUCAACUUACUUUUGUAUAUCAAUCAGGUGGUAUUAGUAACACAUGUGAUGUAUUUCUUAACAGUCUUUAAAUGAUGGAUCAUUCUGAGAUAGAAGUGAACCCACUUCUAAGAUGUGUGCUAUGGAGUUUUACUUGAGAAUUAUUUAAAUGAUUUGGAAAGUGGUUUUACUAAACAAAUUUUAAAUACAAGCAGCAUUACAUUGUUCAACAAAACAUGUUUAUGACAGCAAUCACAAAGACCUUGGAAUCACUAUUGUGGAGUCACAGGUCAGACCACCCAGUCAGACAUAUAUACACCCGUGUUGAUUCUUUAAGUUACAAAAGAAAUUAAUCAUCUACUCUGAUCCCCAUCUCUGCCCCCAACCUCACUCAGCAGUCACUCAUUUAAGACUGUUAUCAGCACGGGGGACAAAAUAUUUAUUUUAAAUUUCAGCUACAUGUGCUUUAAAAAUGCAAGUAGGGAAUAUUAACUGUACAGUGGCAGACUUCUUGUGCUGAUCAGUUAUGCCUUUACCAAUGUCUUUUUUCCCCCAGUGUAGUCCAUCAUUCAAAAUGAGGUGGAGCUUGACUUUUUUGAUCUCUUAAUCAUGCUUGGAUGAAACUCAGUGUGGCGACGGGCAUGCUUUGUCAGGUGAUCACUCCUCAUGAACCGCUUCUCACAGAGAGGACACCUGAACUGCUUUUCACCAGUGUGGGUUCUGUAGUGUCGAGUCAGCUCAUCUGACCGAGAGAACUUUUUAAGGCAAUCGGGCCAUGUGCACGGGAAUGGUCGCUCACCUGUAGGAAGGUAAUGAUGAUAAAACCAGAAAGUUUAGAAGGAAAAACAGGAAUCUAGAAGAUGACAGCAGAGCAAUACCAAACAAUACCACAGAGCUUACACAAAUCAAUAAAUUUAUACACGUGUUGCUUAAUCACCGUUAAGGCUGCAUUAUGGGAUAUGCCACCAAUUCACAACGUGAAAAGCAGGGGAAUCAGAGGUGCUGACUCUGUGGGUACUCCGGGGCUGGAGCACCCACGGAAAAAAAAUAGUGGGUGUUUAGCACCCACCGUCAGCCCUGCCGAUCAGCUCCUUCCCUCCCCCGGGCCUCCCGCCCGCUGGUGAUCAGCUGUUCAGCGGUGUGCAGGAGGCGCAGGGAAGGAGGAGUGGGGUAGGGCAUGCUCAAGAGAGGAGGUGGGAAGGGGUGGAGCAGGGGCAGGAAGAGGUGGGGCACCCCCUGGGAAAUCACAAAGUCAGCACCUAUGAAGGGAAUAACAAGCUAAGGGGGAAAGUCUUCUGCAUUUCUUACCACUUUCACAUAGCCUAUAGUGCUGUCAAUAACACCCUACGGUUAUUCACGGCUGUCAAUAACAACCCAUACGGUUUCAUGUCUCCCUCCAACAGAUACCAAAAACCAGUAUAUACCCUGAUUUCAUCAAACUCCAGUGCAAAAUCUUAACAGGCCUCUGAAGCUGUUGUAUGAGCAGAUCAGCACGUCUGACUGCCAUACGUUCCAUACAGCUGAGAAGUUCUUCUGCCCUAACACUGCUGAGGUGACUAUUAAGGCUUUGCAUUAGAGUAGAAGUUUGAUGAAAUUGGGGGUAUAUAUUGCUUUUGGGUAUCUGGUGGAGGGGGAAAUGAAACCUUGUGGAGCAUUGCAGUGUGUUAUUGACAGCGCUGCGGGCAAUGUGAAAGUGGCAAGAAAUGCAGGAGACUUUUCCCUUACCUUGUUGUUUCCACGCUUUUCAUGUUGUCAGUUGGUGGGGUGCUUCCUGAAGCAACCUUCGCUGUCACCAAAUAAAGCCUUUGUGUGUUACUUUGCUAGUGUUUUAUACUGGUUUGAUGUACUUCAGUGAAUUGGUCCCCAAGGGAGAGAUGCCAAUGGUUGAAAUGCAAAAUACCUGUAUUUUGAUGUCAUGCUAUAAUUUACAUAUUCCAAUAGUACAGAUUAUAGUAAAUUAUUAAUGUGUUAUGGGAUAUCUUCUCUUUGUGUAAAUUAAAUAAACCAGUUGCAUUUAAAAAGAAAACCUGAAAGACAAACUGUCACGUGCAACCAGAAUAUCCCCUCACACAGGUCAACAGCAAUGUUUGAACCCUUAACCCUCAAACCAGAUCUUUACUGUUAGAGCUACAAGAGUAUUUGCUACCCUCAGGUCAGUCACAAGAGGACCUGACACACACUUUCACAAGGGGUUACUAAACUGUUUACCAGACAACAUUAGCAUAUUGGAGAUCAGGAAUCCCAGGGUCUAUUGUUGGGUCUUGAAAAGAGAGUUUAGGAGUUAGAUAGGCUAACCAAAGCACAUUCAAUCAGAAAGGCUGUGUGGCUAAGGGAUGCUAAUUGGGUCUGCCAUUUUUAAUCCUGGCUUCUACUUCUGACUGUACCUGCAGUGAACUUGUGCAAUGUCUCUGUUAAUCUAAUUUUGUAAAAUGAGGUGCCAGCUCAUACUUGCCUUCUAGAAUUGGGGUUCAAGGACUGGAUUGAUAAUCAGGGUGGUGAGAAUCAUGGAAAUAUAAACCACGUUCAGUAGAGGUGAAAUGUGAAUUUGGUAUUCUCUUUCCCAGCUCAGGGAGCUUCCCCCUAGCUUAGAGGAGUAUUGGGCAGAGAUGGCUCGCAUUCUUUCUAUCUCUCUCUCUCUCUCUCCCCUGCCAGUGACCAUGUUACAGCAUCACUGCUCAUUACAGCAGGUUUAGUAUAAUACAUUUCUUUUCAGUUAUGGAGAAAAGUUUAAAAUUAUGAUGCCAAUGAAGGAUAUGUAUAACUGAUACUGUAUUAAUCAUUGCAUGAUGAGCAACGUGUGGUGCAAAGCACAGAUCCCAGGGCACUUUAGUGUUCUUUCAAAGGUUUUUGGAAAACAGGUGAGACAAUCCAGUGUAAAACUUCAGAAAAGGGGACAAUUUGAAGCAGAUUACUCUCUGUAAUGACCCAAUUUUAAUCAAAUUGCCAUUAAAAAGAUAAAUAGUAUUAAUCUUUAUAGUCUAUGUUUUGGACUUUUGCCAUCUUAAUGGGAUUUAUACAAAACAAUGGUUUUAAACUUAAACUGAAAACUUAUGACUCAUUUUUAAACUAUGGAGUCCAGAUCAGCAACUCCAUAAUACUACCUUUCAUACUCUGGCUUAUGUAAAGCACUUUACAAUGAUGCUAAAUACUUGAGGUGAAAUCCUAGUAAAGUCAAUGAGAGUUUUGCCAUUACUACAGUUAGGUCAGGAUUUCACCUUAGAUGCACAGUGACUGUGUAAGCAAACAAAGUGCCAAUUUGUUUCCACCACUAGUUCAUAAACAGCCGUUCAGGAAAGCAUUUAGGCAUAUGCUUAACUUUAUUCAUAUAAUGCUUAAGUGCUGUCCUGAACAGGGUUGCUUUUCUGAAUCAGGACCUAAAAUCAGUUACUUGCUGGUUUUCUAAAUUGAGAUGGAGAGUCCUGAUUAGAACACUAGUGUUAUGGGAUCUUUAAUUUUCAUCAAGACAGCUGCCAGUGGGGUAUCAGCCAGUGGAUUUGUAUAGGAUAACUUAUAGGCACUCAGAUCCUGUGGUAAUGAGUGCAAUAUAAAGAGCUAUAUAGAACAAAAUGACUAGAACUUGGUUUUUAUGAGCUGUAUCCACAAACUUGCACUUUCUGUUUCCUUUCUGAAGCACUCCUCAAAAUUGGGAUGAUUAUUUUUGAAUACACAGACUCUUCUAGUAUUCCUUUUUCACUAAGGAAUACUAGAAGCUGGAGUUGUGAGAAAAGAAACAAAAAUGGGGACCCAGGCCACCAACACAGUUCCAAAUAGAGAAAAACAAAGCUGCUCAAUCUCCUGGUUGGCUGCUUCAAGUCAAUUCAAUUCAACUUCCUAGGCUAAAAAGUUACUGUCCCUUUAUUGUCAGAUCCAGCAACAUGGACUGAUGUGCUUCUGGGUGUGGGGAGCAAAACCCAUUACCUUAACCCAAAAUGCGUUGCUGAACACUUUCAGAAACAAAGAUUUCAAGAAUGGGCAAUAACCAUUAGAUGUGUCCUAGGCACCCAUAGGUUGCAUUCACAGAUAUCAAAAUCCCUAAAAUUAAUCCAUGAAGAUGGCAUGAGAAGAAAGGAGUCAGAGCUGAAGGACUAGCUAGACGAAGAAAGAGAACCAGGAGAGGAAAGUAUCACAAAGGUCCACUGAGGAUAAGAUGUCAAGGAGAGGAUUACUGACAGAGUCAAAAGCAAAGAAUUCAAGGAGAAUGAUGGGAGUAGAUUCUCUGAGAUUUGGCCAGAAAAUGGUGGCUUUAGAUCAGGGGUUCUCAAACCUCCUUCUGAGAACAAAAAUUGGCAACCUCCUUCUGACAACAAAAAUUACUACAUGAACCCAGGAGGGGGGACCGAAGCCUGAGCCCGCCCAAGCUCUGCUGCCCUGGUGGGAGGGUCAAAGCUCUGCUGCCCUGGUGGGAAGAGGGGCCAAAGCCCAAGGGCUUCAGCCCCAGGCAGGGAGACCUGUAAUUUGAGCCCCACCACCUACAGCGGAAGCCCUUGGGCUUUGGCCUGGGGUGAGGCUCAGGCUUCAUCCCUGGGCCUCAGCAAGUCUAAGCCAGCCCUGGCGACCCCAUUAAAAUGGGGUUGUGAUCCACUUUGGGGUCCCAACCCACAGUUUGAGACCGCUGCUUUCAACCUUAGUCUCUCUCUGUCAUAUAUAGGUGUCAGAGCUUGAUGUCCAGGCUCUGUAUCAAUGGAAGCUAGGCAUUGUAAACUGCCAUUCUGAUGUCAGGUUGGGCACUCUUCCACAAUGUGAGUUAUCGUCUGCAAUGCUGUCCCACAGUCUGAGUGUAGGGAAGAAACCAGGCCAAGCUCUCGCAUAAUAGUAGCAACUCUGAACGAACCAGAGAGUAGCCUGUUGAGGUUGGUCCAAGAUGUACAAUCAUAUAGACAAGGAGGAAGGUGCAGUGGUGGACUCCUGAAUUUACUUAGUGUGUUAGGUUCUCUUUCCUACCAAUGCUUCCAAUCUAUGAUGUAGUUUUCAGCACCCUGGUGACGCUGAUCGUCUGUAGUGCUCUUGUCCAAAAGUGUGUGAGUUGCCAUGGCAAAGGGGUGUUGAGAGAUUAGCAGGGGUGUAACACUCCCAGUCCACAGGAGUGGGACAACUCCUCUGAAGAUGAGCAGACCUUUGAGUUGGCACUGUGUGUUGUUUCCAGUCUGAGAAUGGGGCAUCAGCCAGCCAGAGAUGUAAUAGGCUAGUUUUGUCAGACUUAAUAGUAAUAGCCUCUCAUUGAAGGAGCUAUGUGUGCUAGCACAUACAGACUGAAGGUUGGUGUGUAAUUCAAGCAGUCACUAAUAUGAGUGACCAAUAUUCUUCAUGUCAACAAACUGAAUGUGGCAACUGCUCGCCCAGACCAUGGAGCACUAUUCAGCUAUACCAAAUAGCAGGGCCAAUACAGAUGUAGAAAGGACUGAAGAGUCUGCUCCCCAGGAGGCUCCUGACAGUUUUCGUAUCAAGGCAGUAUGGGAAGAGAUCUUCAUUUUCAGGAGUCUCAGGUGAGGCCAGCAUGUCCGGCUACGGUUGAGUUUUACUCCCAAGUAUUUGAUAACUGGCUGGAAUUUCAGUAGCCAUCCUGGGACACACAUUGAGAGGAAUUGAUUGACAAGAUAACUGUUUAAAUGGAAAGUGGUUGCCGUUGUCCUGGUUUCAUUGAGAAUUCAUCUCCCCUGCUGGAAUAUGUGGUCAAAAUAGGCAUGUGUUGGCUGAGCUUCUCUUCAACCCUGUGGAAGUCAUUUCUGGGGCGCUCAAUACAGAUGUAAUCAGCAUACACGUACUUCUCGGCCUAUGUUUCAGGAAGGUCAUAUGUGUAUAUAUUGAACAAAAGAGGAGCCAAAACUGACCCUCUUUGGGAGGCCAUUGUGUAGACACGUAGGGUGAAUGAUUUUCUCCCCAACUUGCAGGCUGAAGCUUUGGUUAUUGAUCAUUUCUUGGAUGAACUGCACCAUCGGCCUACAAGGAAUAAUUCGCAGCAACUUGGCAGUUGGCCCAAUGUGCCACAUGGUGUCAUAGCCUGCUGUCAGAUUCAUAAGGACUACACCAACUUUCCUGACUCAAAUGUGUUUUCAGUAUAUCUACUCUUGGGUGCAUCUUGACUCCAUCCUGAAUGUGAGGCAACUGAGGGUACCUUGACUACCUCACUAAUUCACAUCAGCAUUAGUCUCUCCAACAGCUUGUAAAUAACACACAGCAGAGAAUUCAGUCAGCCACUCUCUGGGUCUGUCAAUGGCUCCCCUGGCUUGGGUACAGCUACAGCCUUUGCUCUGCACCUGGGUACAAUGAUUCAAAAAUCAAAGUAGCCAGCUUUUGGAAAUCGGCCCAAAGUGAGAAAGAAACUUGUGGGUGUAAUCUAGACCAGGAGCCUUGUCGUGCUGCAGUUGAGAUAUAACCAGGUCAAGCUCUUGAUCGGUAGAAAGAGCCAUCAGGUUCAUGUCCACAUUCAGAGCCUUCCAACCACCAUUUUAACUGCACAGAAUGCUCUGCCUCAAUUAGAAGUCUUGCCAUUUGCCACCAGCUGGGAUGUGAUGGAGUUUGCUGUGUCUGCUGUGACAGGGCCAGACCAGAUUAGAAUCUCUGUUCGGUCUCUUACUAGUCUGCUAGGCUUUGUGACUGGAAUGCAUGACUUUAGUGACAGUGGUAAAAGCUGAGUCUAAUAGAUGAAAACAGUCGCUCAUAUAAUACAUUAUGAAGUUCAGUCUUCUAGCUACGUGGCAUGCCUUGUGACCUGUUAGACUUUUCUGCCCCAGACUGAAAAGGAUAUGCUAGGACUCUGUAUGUUGUUAAACUAGAACUCUUAUGUUGCCCAUGAAGUGGGGACAUGACUCUGAAACUAUCUUGAUUUAGAAUUAGCCCAGAAAAAGAUUGGCUCUUGGUCAAGGAAGAAGGAUGAAAGGAGUAGCAAAGUAGUGAGUCACUCCAGAGCACUAGUAGAGAGGGGGAGAAGACACGUGUUUGAAUAAUUCUAACCUUCGGAGCUCUGACUCUGGUUUUCAAGGUUUCUCUGUUUCCCGCUCUACCUUUCCAAGUGCAGUUGAAAGCCUUUUUAAAUAACCACUGCCCAGAAAGGAGACAAUUUAAUUUUAUAGGUCUGCUGUGCAUGCACACACAGGCCAUGGUUGCAUCUAUCCUACAGAAUGGGGUGGUUGGGAGUUCAUCGUGUAGAGCAGGGGCUCUCAACCUUUUUCUUUUUGAGGUCCCCCCCCCCCAAACAUGCUAUAAAAGCUCCAUGGCCCACCUGUGCCACAACAACUGGUUUUCUGCUUAUAAAAGCCAGGGCCAGCGUUAGGGGGUCGCAAGAGGUGCAACUGCCUGGGGUCCCAUGCCACAGGGGCACCCACGAAGCUGAGUUGCUCCGGCUUUGGCUUCAGCCCCAUGCAGCAAGGCUUCAGCUUUCUGCUCUGGGCCCCAGUGAGUCUAACACUGGCCCUGCUUGGUGGACCCCCUGAAACCUGUUUGAGGCCCCCCAGGGGGCCUCCAGACCCCGUUUGAGAACCACUGGUGUAGAGUGUACAGCACUCUACUCAAGGGUUUUGGUUGUACUGCCUUCUCAAUGCCUAACUCACACCUUCUGGCACAAAGUCCUGAAGCAUUGGCUUGCAGGACAUUUGGCAAUGCAUUCUGGGACUCCAAGAGAAUUGUGGGAGAAGAGGUCAAAAUCCCAUCACUCUUUGGGAAGCUCAGCAAUAACCAGGACAUGAACUUAAAAUGGAAGUCAGGCUGAAAUGUCAGAGCUCACUCUUCGCUCAGCCAGAAAUGUUUUUGCUGGAGCUCCUAAAAUAAAAUCACCACAUAUUGCCGGAGAGGCAAUAUGUGGUGUCCCUGCAUUACCUGUGUAUACCGAAAAUGCCCUAACCACCAGCCUCUAGUCAGUGUCUCUUCCCUAUCCAGGGGAAGCAAUUUUCAAAUUUCAGGUAUAUUCUGAUGCAGAAUGGGAACAUUUUUGAAGUUUCAAAAAAUUUUGUGGGACAGAAAAUUCAUUUCCACGCCGGUCUCAUGUAGAAGUUAGCAUAAACUUAGUGCAUGAUACAAGAAAAUGUUAAAACUCUGAACUCUUGAAGAGCAGAUAGAGGUAGGAGAAAGAGGACCAUCCUCUUUUCCAGGCUUUCAGUGAUUCUGUGAGCCUGCAAAUCCACUGCUCCCCUUGGCCAGGAAGCCAUUCUCAAAGCCCAGAGAAAUGGUGAUUAAAUAGCUGAUUUGACAGAGACAGUGUGGUAGUGGCGUAUGCAUUUAGAAGGCUUUAAACAAGGUGGAGGUGCCUGCUGACGUGCAGCGAUAGCGCACUUGGCAGCGGUGGACAUCGUAUCUGCCUCUUGCAUUCUGCACAUCUGUGAAAGCAAUAGCGAAGUGUUUAAGAGUCUGGAAUAGGAACUUGCAACAAUUUAUGCACAGGCAGACAAGCAGCACUACCGGAAUCUGUAACACGUUAAUGCUGGCUGUACCAGGCAUGUGAACGAAAUGAAUCAGAGAUGCUUUGUUCACAUUUUGCCAGGGUAGUGUAGAGAGGGAGUGGUGAUAAUGUUCAUUCUGCCUGUUCAAGCCUGAAGGGUUAGCAUGUGCUGUCCUUAAAUAUCCUUGUUUCCUUUGUUGAUGGUGGGUUUCACCUUAUGUAUGCACUUAUCGGUUUGAGUCUGGGUAAAGAAAAUUGUGGCAUAAUGGAGUGGUGGUGUAAUGAGGGUAAAUUAAAAGUAUGUUUUAUGGAUUCUUAACACUGAAAUAAAUUAUGCAAUUUUACUUUAUUUAAAACCACAAACAUUCAGGACAGCUCCAAUAAGUAACCAGAGAAAAAUAAACCAAGCACACACAAAUUUGGUUUACGGGGCUAUAGGGCCAUAAAAUGCAUGUCUGGCAUACUCCAGUUCUUUGUCCUGUUCACCACCAGAGUGCCAGGAGAACACAGCAGAGGGAGCAGACAGGGAUGAGCCAGUCCAGUAUGGGCUGCAGUUCUGUACCAUAGCAUCAUGCUAAGGUGGUUGUACAAUGCAAACAGGUGCUGGGAGAAUAGUGCUAGCUGCCUUUGGUUCUCCAUGUAUUCUCUUUGAAGUUUUCUGUGGACCUCUUGAUCCGGCAGCGUCAUUUCAUCAUCAUGCCAUGUACAUUCAGUCAUUGGCUUUCUGUCCUCUUGCCUAAAUUGGUCUUGUCUUUCCAAAAAACGACCAGCUUUUUCCUUCUUGAAUCUAAACAUUGUAUCAGAGUCCCUUUACAUGCCCCUCUGAGUCAUUUCCAUUUCCUUCCAGUGAAAUGGUCAACUGUUCAAUAAUUUGUGAUUCCUGAUGCCUUUGCUGUCCCAUUCUGUGAUGUGCCAGCAUUUCCACACUGGGCCUGGGUGCAGUCGGGCCCUCUGAAAUGAGAAAUAAGAAGAAUGUUAAUAGGCUAAUUAAUGACAUUCCAGGGUUGUCUGUACCAAGGAAUGCAAUAAAAGUAACUGCUUUUGGUUCCUUUCUCACUCCAAUGCCUUCUUACAGCAAGAUGCUCUGUUCUUACUAUUUAAGAUGGUAAGGACAUAAACUAACAUUCUCUCCCUAAUUUAAAAUCAAUUCUUAGGCAGCGGGAAUGAAAACAAUGUGUGCAGGGGUGGGGCUUGAUGGCUGUAGUUCAAAGGGACUAAAAAAUUGCUUAAUCCAGGCAAACAGGAGACAGAGAGACUCUUUGUGUUGAGGAUUCCAGAACAGGAAAUGACAGCUCGGUUUGAACAAAUUAGGAGCAAAGUUGAUAAUCCUACACUUGAGGAGUUCUCAUGCCUGAAUAUAGGGCUUAUUCUGGGACUGAAGAGGUAUAGUGAACUUCUGUGGGUGUAUAGGGAAAUUAGCAUUACCCCUAAUUUGAUUGCUCAGAUUGAGCACUGAUUUUUACAAAAGACUUUCAGCGAUUACUCCUGGAGGACUGGGGAAAAAUAUGGCUAAAAUACAUUAUCUCUUCUAGAUUUCUGCCCUGCGUUGUUGGCUGACCUCAGUGAAGUUCAACACAGUCCUUAUUCCACACCCUCACUGGUGGUUAGUAUAGAGCAGCUUGUUAUUGAGUAAUGCUUAUGCCUGUGUCUCUCAUAUGUUAAACAGAAAGGCAGAAUGAACUAUAACAACAGCUUGAUAAGAGUGGAUAGCUAGACAGAUGCCUUUGGCUGAUACAUGGGCUCACUGAGACAAGGUCAUGGACAUGGUGGGAUCAUGCUGCACAGUAUGAGGUUUCUAGUAAUAAUACUCUUCUGCUUUUACAUUUAGGAUAAUUCAGGGUUUGAUCGACUCUUGGAACAGGUUUUCCUUGGUUGACCUCCAUUUUGAGCCUGGCCCUGUGACAAGUUUACUGCAUGCCUGAAAAUUCUGCCCUUACUUGGGACACCUGGCUAUGUAGCCAAAUGUGGAGAAUUAUGGUGGGGCUUGUCCAUCCUGACAGAAUCUGGGGGAGCUGAACCUGGGAGGGAGGGUAAAGAAAGCUUCCCCUUAUGCUGUAGUGGCAGAGCCAGGGAGAAUAGGAUCUUCUAGCAUCAUGUGAUCUUAUAACCACCCACAGUAAGAGUAUGGCGUUUGAAAGAACCAAAGAACAUGUUCCCACAGCCCCCAAGCAUGCAAAACCAAUCCUGAGUGCUGAAAAUAAUAAAAUCCAAUGUACCUUGUGUGCUCCUUUGUCUCCUACGUCCACCCCAACCUGUUUGGCUGCUGUAGCCAGAUCUUGAGCUUCUCCAAAGAGGUUUUGGAAUCCUGGUAAGGUCUCAGGCACCUCCUGGUCCUGGCCCACAUCCCUUGUCAUGGACUGGGCUAUGAUGAAUAUUUCUCCUUCCUCUUCUCCUGAUGGCCCAGGUGCUAGGUGUCACAGUGCCAUCCAAAGUAUCUCAUGCUUUGUAGAUGGAUGAGUGCCAAAAAUAAUGUCCACUUCACUGGGGAGAAAAAAGGCAGGUUUUUCUCCUUAUCCCAGACUGGCUUCAGUUAUCUCAGGCCCUUUUGUGGCCCUUUUACUUUUCUCCUGGUGUUGUCUUUCCCCCAAGUGGGUGAUUCCCUGCCACGCACUAUAUUUGCGUCACUCAGUCAUAAUCCAAAGUUUUCCUAAUUAGAGUUCAACUGCAAUUGAAUCUCACAAGCACCUGGGUAUCUGCCUCUGGCCAGCUCACAGCAUUCCUUCACAAUAGCUUUUUCCUUCUGAAAUUGUUCCAAAAUUGACUUGCUGAAACACACAAAGCUAAGGGGGCUGACAAAAAACAGCACAAAAUGAGAUUGAAGGUAUGCAGUACUAUUUAUACAGGCAAGGGACUUCCAGAAAACUUGAUCCUGAACCAGCAAGGUAGAAGAACUAGGCUAAACAGAACCCCCUAAGUGGUGGCUAGUGCUCUGUGGGACAGUGAUGGGAGGACAAUUUGCACCAUAGAGAUUUAAUAAUUUUAUUAAGAUGAUGAUGAAGUAAAAAGAAAACGGUACAGAGUUUAGGCAUAGAAGUUUCUGAUUGCACCACCUCUUUGUAUCUACAGUGGCACUGUACCAAUGGAGCCUCACAGUCAUGUGGGCAACACAGUAGCUAGCCUUGCUCGGAGCAAGUACAACCCACAGUGUGAUAUGUUCCUGUGCCCCGUAGAUAGUAAUUUUGUGGGCAGACACAUGACAGGUGUGCUGGGAGGUUUAAAUGGCAGUUAGCUUGCCAAAUUGCUCAAGUAUGGGUAAGAUCCAAAGCCACAACAUACACAUAACCACCAAACUUAAGCUCAGUAUUGCUGCAGGAUUCCUACAAUACAUCUUUGACUGCACCAAUUUACAUCUGUUGCCCCUAUGUUCAGGAGCAAAAAAAGGUGUUUUCAUUUUAUCUAUGAAUUCCCCCAUUGAUUGAUUAAUUAUUCAUCAUGUAAAGUGUGCUAGACUAUUCAACAGGACAACCUGAGACACUCUCUUGCUUAGGUAUUUAUAGGGUGCCAGUCACUAUAAUUAGCAUCAGUUCUCAAGCAUUUAAAAAAAAAAAAAAAAGAGCCAGAAUGCACCAUUUUGCUGCAUACGCACUGACCACGUAUAGUGCAAGGUGAAGAAUGAAAGCAAUAACCACUAUCAUGGGUUUACUUUACAGUUAUCAGCGGUACUGGAAUGCCAUUCUGGCUCCCCCAAAAAAGUGCCGGCAUGGCAUUCCAGAACAUACCCGCACAAGAGUGCUUGGCUGGCAUCUAAACACAGGAUUAAGACAAUCAUAAGAUUUUUUGAAAUGGACUCUGUUCUUUCUAUCCUCGGAUUUGGCAAUUUAAACUUAACUUGGUUUUCCCCAACCCUUUCCUCUCUUUCAGGUUUGGCAGCUCUGUCAGUUUAUGAAUGUGAGGAUGGUGCAGUAUUGCAGUGCAGUGAACUGAAGGUGAAUGUACUCACCCACAGUGAUCCUAAUGGUUACACGCACAAACGGACAAAAUCAGGUUAGGAAGAAAUAUACCAAGUGUUCUCCAGCACCAAGGCACAACAGGGUGCAAUAACUCAUUAGAGUCAGCUCUUCUAAUAUGUCCUCUGCUGGCAACAGGAGUUACAUUCUUGGUGUGAAAGGAUAAAGUGAAGCAGUUGAGAUAAGGUCACUUUGUUGUUCUGAUUCCCUUCUAAAUGUGCUUUUCCUUGCUUUGAUGGGGUGCUGUGACCACUAACACUUUUUGGUAGUUUUCCAAAUGUGAAAUUUAACAAAUACUUAAUUCUCUUUAUAAAAAAAAAAGCAUAUUGAAAAUAUGAGAGAGAUUUUUGCCUAACUUGCUCACCCUCGUAGCCUUUCAAGCAAUGUAAUCAAAUUUUAUCAAAUAUUACAAACAAUUUUCUCCUGGAUAGAGAACAUGUCCAUUAAGUAACAAUACAAGUUUUCACAUUUUUAUAAAUCCCUGAGAAAAAUGGUUUCACACAUUUUUAUCAAGAUGCCCUUUGAGCACUGCUAUCUGAUCUUCAGCCAUAUUAUAAAUGCACUACCUGUGUAACGUGUACUGAAUAAGGAGCUUAAAAUGUUAGAUUUCAGAUUGUUUCCAUUUGAAACUUAAAAGCACCAAGAAAAUGCUCCAAACUUUGCCCAUUAAUAUACACAUCUGUACUGUCUGAAACUAGGGAUAGUUCAGAAAAUAAAUGGGAAAGUAAUGCAGUCAGGAGCAGCCUAAACUAAUAAGGGGCCUGGAUUCACGAUGCAGUUUGUGUUGCAGCAUCCAUCAGUUGUGUCUCUGUUGUGACAGAAAUGCUGCUCCCUGCCUUCCCUCUGGACAGUAGAACUCAGAUCUGUGACUCCAUGUCUCUGCCCUUAACCUAUUGCUGAAUAUCACCAAAGGCAAAAUGUCAAAGGAGGAGUUCAAGGGCAUAGCUUCUGUUGUAUUGUUACAAAACUCUUGCACUGUUGGAUUGGCUCUGACUCACAUAUUGACAUGGGUUCCUCUAAGGCCCUAUUGAGGAGGCAGAGAAUGUAUAUACCUCAUGCAUUUUAUAGCACACUCAAGGGGAUCUAUAUCUUCCAAGCACUUAUAAUACAGGGAAAUCCUUGUUCAUUAUGAAUAUUUAAUAUGCACAAGCGUUUACAGCCAAAUCUUAGGAGCAAGUGCAUCUGCUACAUAGAGCACUCAGGACCUCUGGUCUGCCUGGGUUCCCUAACUGAGUAGACUUCUACUAAUCCUGUAACAGCCCACAGAAUUAGCCUCCUGAUACCUAUGCUGCUGCCCAUAUCCUCUCUUGCCACAUGGGGGAGACCAUCACCACCAAUUGCCAUUUGUCCAAUUACUGGCUUUCUUUCAUCCUCCUUGUUUACACCCUCCUUUCACCUUCCAUUUUUUUUAUUAAAAACUUUUAAAAGCUAUAAACCCCAGCUCUACCCUCAUUCAGAAUAUAAAUUGGUAACAAAGAGACUGUAUUUCCAAGCUAAUGCGCUGUACUACUCUAAAUCAACCAUCCCCACCCACUUCCACCUGGCCUCUUCACUGCACCAAUGACUUCAGUCUUGACUGCCCCUCUGUCUGCAACUGCAUCGCCUAUGGUUCUGUACCUUCUAUGCUAUUCCCUAUGCACGGAAUAGCCUUAUAGAGUUCAUUUGGAAGACCCAUAUCCUUGUCACAUUCAAGUCUCUCCUGAAGACACACCUUUAUCAUGAUGCUCAUGGGAAAGCUGCCAUUGACAACAACAACUCUGAGAAGUAGUCUGGGUAUAAUUUUACAUGUCCUAUUUUUAUUAUAUUUGUAUACACAUUCUAAACAUAAUUGCAUAUGUAUUGAAUCCUUUCCCUAUCCUCAGGACAGAGAGAGAGAAACAGUCUUUAAAUUGUGAGUUCCUUGAGGAACAUGGCCAGGCCUCCUCUUCUAUUUGGAAAGUUCCAAGCACUUCAUAGGUGCUACCAGAAAUAAUUUAUAAUAGUAAUCUUGCUCUUACUAAUGUUUCAGUCCAAAACUCAAGACAUCACUAAAAUUAAAUAUUAAUUUUCAAGCUAGCUUUGAGCAGGAGUCAUGAGGCAGGCCAUAGGCAACCAAUCAUCAGAUGGUUACUUUUGGUUUCUGCAAGAGGGGCUGGUUUUGAACGAGCAGUUAAGGAGAUAAAAGAAAUCUCUGAUAAUGCAGUCCCCCUCUUCUUGUAACUUAGUUUGGUACUUCAUCCCUCAUCUUCUGUCAGCCUGAACAAGAUGUGCCAAUGUGUUUUUAGUUUCACAGCAAUACAACAUACAUGAGUGGUCACUAAACAUUUUGAACUUGUUUAGUUGCUAUGCAUGGGUGAAACGGGGUAUUAAUAAAAGACAGACCAUAGGUACAAUGAGUAGACAUUAUGAAACCAUUUUUCAAGAUAGAGAAUAAGAUAAAUAUUAAAAAUUUAAGAUGGCAGUAACUAUUGAUGAGCAUCUACUUUAACUAAGAGUGCUAAAGGCUGCAAAGGUAGUGAGAAAUCAAAUCUCUGCCCUGGAAAGCAAGUUCACAUUAAGAAAUGCCAGGUUGAUCUUAAGGGUUCAUGAAAUCAUGGAGAUGAAUGGGUUUUGUUUUAUUUUUUUAAAUGAAUGAAGGAAGCAGUCACUUAAGAUAGUUAACGCUACAACGUGUAGUCAUAUAUGUCCCUGGCCAAUCCAAUCAAGAAAUACCUCACUGUGGCUAUGAAAUGUAUCACUCUUGGAAUGACUUUAAAUCCGGCAUGUGUAUUUUACAUUCAUGUGCCGAGUUCAAGAAUCCUAUGUGCCCAGGGUACUGUCUUGAUCUCCCUUAGUGACUUACUUGUUUUGUUCCCCUUCCAAAGAUGGCACUGGAGUAAUCUGUGAUUUAUAGGUACAGAUUUUGGGUGAACUGUGGAGGCUACACCCAGCUUUUUCUGUUCUCCCAUUCAUGAAGUAAUCCUCUUGAUGAGGAGUAUCAUUUACUAUUCCAUCAGCUAAAGUUAACUCUGUUCACACUGGAAAGUGCUGAAAGUUUAUUACUCAAGAAUAUAGCUGAAUAUUUGUGGUGUUAUUUAAUCACUGAAAACUGCGGUACACUGUUAUUAACAUUAACCUUUACAGUGGAGUCGCAUCAUACGCACAUUUAACUUAUGCGAAUUCAACUAUACGCACUCGGCAAAAAACAACAA